GAGGUGGAAGGAUUGCUUGAGCCCAGGAGGUGGAGGCUGCAGUGAGGUGUGAUCAUACCACUGCACUCCAGCCUGGGUGACAGAGUGAGACCCUGUCUC
ensembl:miRNA